GACGAACGCUGGCGGCAUGCCUAACACAUGCAAGUCGAACGAGAUCUUCGUGCCUCGUGGCGCACGGGUGCGUAACGCGUGGGAAUCUGCCCUUUGGUUCGGAAUAACAGUUGGAAACGACUGCUAAUACCGGAUGAUGACGUAAGUCCAAAGAUUUAUCGCCAGAGGAUGAGCCCGCGUAGGAUUAGCUAGUUGGUGUGGUAAAGGCGCACCAAGGCGACGCUCCUUAGCUGGUCUGAGAGGAUGAUCAGCCACACUGGACCUGGGACACGACCCAAACUACACGGGGAGGCAGCAGUGGGAAAUAUUGUACAGUGGCCGAAAGCCUGAUCCAGCAAUGCCGCGUGAGUGAUGAAGGCCUUAGGGUUGUAAAGCUCUUUUACCCGGGAUGAUAAUGACAGUACCGGGAGAAUAAGAUCCGGCUAACUCCGUGCAAGCCGCCGCCGUAA
rnacentral:rRNA from 1 species